AGAAGCAUUUCAGAAAACGUAGCUUUUGUUUUGCACAUGUAGGCUUGGGCCUGUGUGUUGGACUGCUUACCUGAAUGUAUUCCCAGCCCCCAAAUGAGUCAUAACGGGGGUGCUGUGACAAUGGGAACUGCUUGAGUGGCAGGAAAGAGAAAUCUGUAUUUCACCUGAGUGGUAGACACAGAGUGGUGUUGUGGGGUAUAUGCCUUUCCUAACACGUAUUUUGCCUUGAACCGCCAGACUGGAAUCCAGUAGAAAAGUCAGGAAUGUGGAAAUAGAUUUCAGAAGGUGUGGUGUUCCUGUUCCAUGGUUUGACAAAGAGCACUGGAGAGUCCCAUGCAGCCCCAUCACAGGCUGAGGCACAGGCUUCCAUGCUGUCUGCACCAAGAUGGAUGUUGCGUUCACUCUCCCGAAGCACCAGCUGAUCUGGACCGAAUUAACUCGAGCUCGAUAGAAGUUCAGUCAUAAGCAUGUAAGUCUAUGCACCACUCAUUGUACCUGGUGCCUUCGGAGGACAGAAGAGGCCAUCAGAUCCUGGAACUGGAGUUAUAGAUGGCUGUGAACCACCCUGUGAUGCUGGGGAUGGAAUUCAGAUACCCCAGAAGAAUAAUCAGUGCUCAGAACCUCUGAUCCAUCUCUCCAAGAAGAACCAAAUUUUUAAUGAAUACAUUCUUUACAGUUGCACAUGGAAAAGUUCCAAGCUUUUGUCUCGACUUCACCUUUGCCUCCUGGCAACGCCGGCGCCUGCAUCAUAUACUUCAGCUUCUCCUCCUGGCAAUGUGUAAGAGAGUGACUUUGAAGACCACUGGAAGAGGUGCAGAAUACUCUCAAAGUCACCACUGGAGGGAGAAGAAGCUGUUUCUGUGACCCUCAGUUCCUGUCUCUGGUUGUCAUAGCCUUCUGGCCUCAGAGAUGGCUGUUCACGUGAUGAGCUUUCAGAAAGACUUGUGCAGCCCAUGAAUCUUGAAGAACGGUCCUUCACUCAGUAGCAAUGAUGGGAUAUGGUUCUAGACAAACAAAAUCUCGGAUACACACAUCAAUCAAAGACGGGUGAUGGCGCCAGAAACUCAUUUCAUUAAGUUCUCCAGAUGAUUCCGUUGGACACUGCACUGAAGCCAUGGGUGCAAAGGAUCUGCCUAGAAUAUUCCGUGGAUGCUGCUUGGAUUCUAGUAAAGGGAAAAUGGGCUCAGAGGUUUAUAUGCUCUUUCUUGAAGCUAAAAUGCCUAGAGAUUCUGUCCAAGAAUAGCUGGGCAGGGCAAAGAAAUGAAAAGGAAAUGAGCCAGAGAGGCUUUGCAUUUUGCAGAAUAUUAGCUUAGAGUAGGGAGACCGAGGCCUGAAUUAAAGCAGAAAUGAGUUGGCGUUCUCAACGAAACGGUAUUAAAAGAAACUGAUGUAAACGACUCUGGUUUUAAUAUAAGAUGUAAAAAUGUAUAGAAUGUGGAACAUGGAUGCCAGCUCAGAUACCCUGUGUGGCUGGCCCAGUUCUGUGGGACACUUCCUAAUGCAGGAAUUUCAGCCAUACUGAUGAGAGGCAGCUCCACUUCCCCAUCAAUGCAUAAGACCUCAUCAAUUCAUGAAAUUCAUCAACACGAAAAACCCUUGCCAUGUGAUCGCCAUGCUAAGGGUUGUAAUGAAAGGAACUCUAUUAAUCAUUUCCCAACACAGUCGCCACUUCCCCUUCCCUAUCCCAAACUUUCAAAACAGGUUUAAAAAUCCCACAAGAGACAAAACAAGAAAGCAGAGGCAAUUAUCAGCCAACAAAACCCUGAAAGUUUGAAGUCUUAUCAGACACAAAGUAAAAACAGGUUUUCGAACUGUCUUUUUAAAUUUCCAUCCUGCUUCUGUGUGAAGAGGUUUUCCCAAGUCAUCUAACAGGUAGCAUGGGGGCGGAGUUAUUCCUGCUGACAGACUUCCCUGGGGACUGAGAGGAAUGACUUCUGAAACCAAGCAUUUCUUAACAAAUCAUAUAAAAACCUCACCGGAGACUUCUGCUGCCAGGAGAAAGAUUUCAAGCAUCCACUGAUGGCUCCUCCAAGGCAAUAAAGAGCCAGAUGCAUCAGGCUUGGAGCUUAAAUCUGAUGCUGUCCAAAUUUAGCCUAAACAUGCUUCGUCUAUUUUGAAUAGCUAAUGUGGUGCCACAUUCUUGCUUGUGAGGUAUGGCCCAUGAAUAUCUACAAACUCUGGGAAGGAUCUCAGGCCAGAGCCAUGGGCCCUGGUCGGGUAGCCGAACGUCAUCUCAACAGCUUCAUUUUUGUAGCACACAAUUAACAACUUAGGAUUUAAAAGUUUUUUUUUUUUCCUCCCACGUAUACCUAAUGAACUCUAUUUUUAAGGCCAAUUGUAAAAAUUAUUUCUGACAUGGCCACUUCCAAUCUCUUAAACUUUGGAUUCUAUCCCCUCCCAGCCAAGCCACUUUAACCUUCUAAUGGUCCCCUUAUUUUUCUUGUUAAAUCUUAACAACCUAUUACUGGCUCUGGGCGGGUCUGGCUUUCUGCAGGAAUCUGUGCUGCCUCUGAGUCGUAAAUGCAUAAGGCCUCCUUUUUUUUGGAGGGGUGGGUCAGAUUAGGGCCAUGGGGUAGAGCCAACCUGACUGAAAGUGUCCAUAUCUGCUAGAAAUCUGGCAUGGGACUUGUUAUGGAGAGAUACUAGUUAACUAUUCAACUCAGUGUGUAGCUGAUGAAGUCAGGGCUUCCCAGAGGCAUCCCUUAAAGGAAAAUCACAUGUUUACCUAACAGCCAUGGCUCAUAUCGCCACUCUUCUUCUUCCUGGCCUUUCAUACAUUUGCCUCAAUGUGUUAACUUGCCUGAGCCUUUUAAUCUCUUUACUCCGUAUAGAAGAUACUUGCAAGAGCUGAAAAAGAAGAAAACAAAACAGCAAACCUUGAUUCUGUGAAGAGUGUAAUUUCUGUCAGUUAACACUUUGUUCAGAGAUGAACACAUCUUCGGGAGACAUUAAAAGAAGCUACAAUUACGCAAAAAGCUCUUGAUGAAUAAAGUGUCUAAAUCACCGCAACAAACGAUGCAGUUAUUGGGGAGGUGUAGAAUUCUGAAUAUCCUAUUCACCGUGCAGCUCCUUGCAUUCAGACAGACACUCAAGCAAGGUUAUGUGAGAUGAUGAAUCCUUUUAGAGCAGAAACAUAACCGACGCCCACUGGAGUUAAAGCAGGCUCUUGAAAAAGAAUGAGAAAUUCCAACAGGCAGAGCUGGAGCAUCUCUCUGAAGGUGUUUGGGGCUGAGUUCUCAGACUCACCUGGGGCAACUAUAGAUGCUCUAUAGUACAUGGAAUCAGGCCUGCUGAUUUGCAGUAUAUGGACUUAUUUCCUUAUUCCGGGUGCAUUGUUUUAUACUCUGUGACCACACCACUGAUUGUAAGGGUAGUUGAACCUGGUGUAGUUAAAUAGCCAAAAUCUUUGAAAAACUAACAAGGAAUGAGGGGGAAGGCAGGGUCAGGAAUGGGACUAUGGAGAGGCAGACAAGUUUCAGAAGGCGGGGCAUCAUCAUCAGUUAGGAAAAGAUGGAGUCUUCUUUUGUGUUGUAGUUACUCUGUAUUCCAGUCUUCUUUCUGUUGUGUGGGAUGAAAUCUGACCAAAAGCAAUUUAGGGGAGGAAAACACUUAAUUCAUCUUCCAGGUCGCGGUCUAUCAGUGAAGGGCUCAAGCAGGAACUUUGUUGUAAAACUGUUGAAACAAAGCUGACUUCCUGACUCACUCUCAGUCUCGUGUCUAGCCAACUUUCUUAUGCAGUCCUUGAGCCAUCUACCUGUGCAGGGAGUGAUGCUGUCCACGGUGGACUGGACCUUCCUAUAUCAAUAAAAUCUCGCCCACCCCCACAUCAGCUAGGCAAUUCUGAGAAACCCUUCAAUUUAGAUUCUCUUCUCAGAUGACCCUAAGUUGACAGGUAAAACUAAAUCGAUACUCUGGAAAAGUGAGAAGGUUCUAGAAGCCCACUCCGCAUUUGGCUCAUGUGUGAUAACUGAAGAUGGUAUACAUAUCCACACAACACUGGUUGGGGGUUUUAUCCCUUCUGUAAUCAACAUGUCUCUGGGAGCUGGAGAAAGUUUAAAGCCGGAUCUGAGGGAGCUGGCAAAGGAAACUGGCUUGGGUUUUUGCUGUGUAGGCUUGACCGUGAGUCAAAGCUGCCUGGCCUGGGCAACUGAGUUGUUCCAGUGCAGAUUAGGUGGAUGGAAAGGCACGGAGAAGCCAGGACCCUGCUCAGCUUGGCAGAUGGGAGCACAGGAGAGACCGAAAGACCUAAUGGCUCUCAGCAAUGAACCGUCAAGAAUGCAGACAGAGUUCUUAUACUUCAGCUUCCGUAUCGCUGCGAUCUGAAGCCUCCCGUAGUCCUAUGAAGGAAGUCUGUUUUUCUUUCCACUUUCCAUCAUAACUUUCCUCGGGAGUUUCAGUUCACACUCAGACCUGAAAUCUCAUGUCUUGUCUGUGUUCCCGGGAAAGAAUGCCCAUGCUACAGCCAAGGUGGUGGGCUCACAGUACUGGGUUGGGCCAGGGUGGGCACUCUCAAGAUAGAGAAGCAGAGGCUUCUGUUUGGGGAAGGAGCGAAGUUCAGCAGACUCUCAUUUAGAAUUCUGUGGAGGAGGCCAGCAUCAGUCUCUGGGAGGUAGAUGGUUCCAUGGUCAUGGGCACGCAGAACAGCCAUAACAAGUCUUGAGUUCCCUCCACGAAGAAAAGAUUUAAUUCAGGGAAACAGCUACACUGUCAUUUACUGUGUUGGGUUUUUGAAGU